rnacentral:rRNA from 1 species
CCUACGGGUGGCAGCAGUGGGGAAUAUUUCGCAAUGGGCGAAAGCCUGACGCAGCGACGCCGCGUGAGGGAUGAAGGUCUUCUGAUCGUAACCCUCUGUCCGCAGAGAAGAACGGUCCCUGUGCUAAUCAGCCGUGCAUUGACGGUCCCUGCCAAGGCAGCACCGGCUCACUCCGUGCCAGCAUCCGCGGUAAUACGGAGGGUGCGCGCGUUAAUCGGAAUUACUGGGCGUAAAGCUCUCGUAGGCGGUAUGUCAAGUCAAGGGUGAAAUCCCCGCGCUCCACGUGGGAACUGACUUUGAAACUGGCAAACGGGAGUGUGAGAGAGGAGAGGGGAAUUCCAGGGGUAGGAGGGAAAUCAGUAGAUAUCGGGAGGAACAUCAGUGGCGAAGGCGACUAUCUGGAACAUAACUGACGCUGAGGAGCGAAAGCGUGGGUAGCAAACAGGAUUAGAUACCCUUGUAGGC